AUCCACUCUUCCAAGCGACAUACCAUAGUGAGAACUUUUGGUGUGUGGAAGAUGAAAUGGCAAAUCUCGCUCAAGAUACCAAACUACUCGAUUGCAACACAAAAAAUGAUUGUUGCGGCUACCGUUACACUACACAACUAUGUCCGCCUCCAUGACAAAGAGGAUCUCCACUUUCUUCGCUGUGAGAGGGAUCCGGAUUAUGUUCCAACUAUUCCUGAUAGAUACAAGAAGUAUUCUAUUCCUUCAAAUGCAUCACAUGCUUCAACUGUUGGGGAACGUAGUAAUUUCAAAAAAAUUCAUACGCACACGCAAGAUCAUGGUGAUGCAUAG
rnacentral:rRNA from 1 species